GAGGGGUAUAGGUUUUCGGACCUAGAGACCGGCGCACGGGUGCGUAACGCGUAUGCAAUCUACCUUUUACUGAGGGAUAGCCCAGAGAAAUUUGGAUUAAUACCUCAUAGUAUUAUUGAGUGGCAUCAUUUGAUAAUUAAAGUUCCAACGGUAAAAGAUGAGCAUGCGUCCCAUUAGCUAGAUGGUAAGGUAACGGCUUACCAUGGCAACGAUGGGUAGGGGUCCUGAGAGGGAGAUCCCCCACACUGGUACUGAGACACGGACCAGACUCCUACGGGAGGCAGCAGUGAGGAAUAUUGGUCAAUGGGCGCAAGCCUGAACCAGCCAUGCCGCGUGCAGGAUGACGGUCCUAUGGAUUGUAAACUGCUUUUGUACGGGAAGAAACACUGGAACGUGUUCCAGCUUGACGGUACCGUAAGAAUAAGGAUCGGCUAACUCCGUG
rnacentral:rRNA from 1 species